rnacentral:rRNA from 1 species
CACGUAGGGCGCGAGCGUUGUCCGGAAUUAUUGGGCGUAAAGAGCUCGUAGGCGGCCUGUUGCGUCCGCUGUGAAAGCCCGGGGCUUAACCCCGGGUCGGCAGUGGAUGCGGGCAGGCUAGAGGUAGGUAGGGGAGAAUGGAAUUCCGAGUGUAGAGGUGAAAUUCGUAGAUAUUCGGAAGAACACCAGUGGCGAAGGCGGCUCACUGGCCCGUUACCGACGCUCAGGCGCGACAGCGUGGGGAGCAAACAGG